CCGACCUUAGCUCAGUUGGUAGAGCGGAGGACUGUAAAUCCUUAGGUCACUGGGUCGAAUCCGGUAGGUCGGA
rnacentral:tRNA from 1 species